rnacentral:rRNA from 1 species
ACUGUUCAGAUUAGCCAUGCAUGUCUAAGUAUAAACCUCUUUAUACUGUGACACUGCAAGCGGCUCAAUAUAUCUUCUAUAAUUUAUUUGAUGGUUCCUUACUACAUGGAUAACUGUAGUAAUUCUAGAGCUAAUACAUGCGUAAAGUCCCGACUCUUGCGGGGAGGGAUGUAUUUAUUAAAUAAAAAACCAAUGCGGGCUCUGUCCGGUUUUGUGGUGAAUCAUACUAACUUAUCGAAUGCCAUAGCUUCAUGCUGGGCAUAGGUCAUUCCCCUUUCUGCCCUAUCAGCUUUCAACGGUACCGUCCUGGACUACCGUGGCGUUAACAGGAAACGGAUAAUUAUGGUUCGAUUCCGGAGAAGGAGCCUGAAAAACGGCUACCACAUCCAACGAAGGCACCAAGCGCGCAAAUUACCCAAUCCUGACACAGGGAGGUAGUGACAAAAAAUAACAAUACCUGGCCUUUUUAUGUCGGGUAAUUGGAAUGAGUACAAUUUAAA